GAUGAACGCUAGCUACAGGCUUAACACAUGCAAGUCGAGGGGCAGCAUGGACAUAGCUUGCUAUGUUUGAUGGCGACCGGCGCACGGGUGCGUAACACGUAUCCAAUCUGCCCGUUACUCGGGGAUAGCCUUCUGAAAGGAAGAUUAAUACCCGAUGGCAUGUAUUUCCGGCAUCGGAGAUACAUUAAAGAUUUAUCGGUAACGGAUGAGGAUGCGUACGAUUAGCUGGUUGGCGGGGUAACGGCCCACCAAGGCGACGAUCGUUAGGGGUUCUGAGAGGAAGGUCCCCCACACUGGAACUGAGACACGGUCCAGACUCCUACGGGAGGCAGCAGUGAGGAAUAUUGGUCAAUGGGCAGAGCCUGAACCAGCCAAGUAGCGUGAAGGAUGACUGCCCUACGGGUUGUAAACUUCUUUGUUCGGGAAUAAAGUGCAGUACGCGUACUGUUUUGUAUGUACCGUUCGAAUAAGCAUCGGCUAAUUCCGUGCCAGCAGCCG
rnacentral:rRNA from 1 species